UACGAAGGGGGCUAGCGUUGCUCGGAAUCACUGGGCGUAAAGCGCACGUAGGCGGAUUGUUAAGUCAGGGGUGAAAUCCCGGAGCUCAACUCCGGAACUGCCUUUGAUACUGAAGAUCUUGAGUCCGGGAGAGGUGAGUGGAACUGCGAGUGUAGAGGUGAAAUUCGUAGAUAUUCGCAAGAACACCAGUGGCGAAGGCGGCUCACUGGCCCGGUACUGACGCUGAGGCACGAAAGCGUGGGGAGCAAACAGG
rnacentral:rRNA from 1 species